CACUUUUAGCACGCUUUGGUGUUUGUGCUGCUGGUCUUCCUACCACUGUGGAAGUGGUUGCUGGAAUCUUAGUACACAGCAUGUUAAAGUUUCUGUUAAAAUUUGGUACUGUUAGUUUUACCUUGGAUACAAUGCAAUGCAGGAUUUUUUUCCUGCUGCGUCCAUGAAGCCAAAUCCUCAGUGUGAUGACAGAAAUUGCAGAAAGAAUGUAAGAAAAAGGUAGCAGCACUGCCCAAAUGAGGUUAUACAAGAAGAGGAAGAGAUAAUCCAUGAAUAUACCGAGUGGGGUAUUGAGCUGGUAUCUGAGGUUUCAGAAGAGGAAUUGAAAAAUUCUUCAGGUCCAGUUCCAGACUUACCUGAAGGAAUUACAGUGGCAUACACAAUUCCAAAAAAGCAAGAAGAUUCUGUCACUGAGGUAACAGUGGAAGAUUC
rnacentral:lncRNA from 1 species